rnacentral:rRNA from 1 species
GAUGAACGCUGGCUACAGGCUUAACACAUGCAAGUCGAGGGGAAACGACGGGGAAGCUUGCUUCCCCGGGCGUCGACCGGCGCACGGGUGAGUAACGCGUAUCCAACCUGCCUCUGACUGAGGGAUAACCCGUCGAAAGUCGGCCUAAUACCUCAUGGCAUCGUCUGCGGGCAUCCAACGACGAUUAAAGAUUUCAUCGGUCAGGGAUGGGGAUGCGUCUGAUUAGCUUGUUGGCGGGGUAACGGCCCACCAAGGCUACGAUCAGUAGGGGUUCUGAGAGGAAGGUCCCCCACAUUGGAACUGAGACACGGUCCAAACUCCUAAGGGAGGCAGCAGUGAGGAAUAUUGGGCAAUGGGCGGGAGCCUGAACCAGCCAAGUAGCGUGCAGGAUGACGGCCCUAUGGGUUGUAAACUGCUUUUAUGCGGGGAUAAAGUGAGGGACGUGUCCUUCAUUGCAGGUACCGCAUGAAUAAGGACCGGCUAAUUCCGUG